CACAGUUUAUACCGUAGCUUGCUACACCAUAGACUGUGAGUUGCGAACGGGUGAGUAACGCGUAGGUAACCUGCCUAUUAGAGGGGGAUAACUAUUGGAAACGAUAGCUAAUACCGCAUAACAGUAUGUAACACAUGUUAGAUGCUUGAAAGAUGCAAUUGCAUCGCUAGUAGAUGGACCUGCGUUGUAUUAGCUAGUAGGUAGGGUAAUGGCCUACCUAGGCGACGAUACAUAGCCGACCUGAGAGGGUGAUCGGCCACACUGGGACUGAGACACGGCCCAGACUCCUACGGGAGGCAGCAGUAGGGAAUCUUCGGCAAUGGGGGGAACCCUGACCGAGCAACGCCGCGUGAGUGAAGAAGGUUUUCGGAUCGUAAAGCUCUGUUGUUAAGGAAGAACGAGUGUGAGAAUGGAAAGUUCAUACUGUGACGGUACUUAACCAGAAAGGGACGGCUAACUACGUGCCAGCAGCCGCGGUAAUACGUAGGUCCCGAGCGUUGUCCGGAUUUAUUGGGCGUAAAGCGAGCGCAGGCGGUUAGAAAAGUCUGAAGUGAAAGGCAGUGGCUCAACCAUUGUAGGCUUUGGAAACUGUUUAACUUGAGUGCAGAAGGGGAGAGUGGAAUUCCAUGUGUAGCGGUGAAAUGCGUAGAUAUAUGGAGGA
rnacentral:rRNA from 1 species